rfam:Gossypium hirsutum cultivar TM-1 chromosome 26, whole genome shotgun sequence
UGUUAAAAAUUCAUCCAUUCUACUGUUAAAAACUGAUGUAGCUGACAGAAUAACUAGACAAUUACAUGUUUCGUGUCACGUGUAUCUCAUGUUGUCAUACAAUGACCAGUUUUUAACAGUAAAAACAAAUGUAAUUUUUAAUA